rnacentral:rRNA from 1 species
AAGUCGUAACAAGGUUUCCGUAGGAGGUCCGCCUAUGGCCUUGAGCCGCGACAAGUAAAUAAUGGCAUAGUCUGUUAGCAGGCGACAUCUCUACCUUGCUGGAAACCCUUAACUGGCUACUAGCAGCUCAAUCGAGUUCACAGGUCAAAUAGAGGUGGCCCUCUUUAAGGGUUAAGAUAUGAUCGGACUUGGCUAUCGCUAGUCAAGAUAUUCGGAACCUGCAUCUUUCUGCAGGUUACAAGAGUCCUUCACAGGGCAACAUAUCUACUGUGCUGGGAUUUACCAUAAGUAAUGCCAGCAGCCUACCUAGGUAUCAAGCAGGUUAGGUUCACAGGUCAAAUAGAUAUGGCCUGUCAACCGGUUAAGAUAUGAUCGAGAAUUCGCUGUGAUUUGCGAAUAAUUUUCGGGAAGGAUCAUUAAAGAGUCGCGCAGCAGCUAAGUUCUCUUAGCUGGUGUAAUACUCCACCCUUUGCUUAUAUUACCUUUGUUGCUUUGGCAGGCCCGCUCUUACGCCGCUGGCUUCGGCUGGCCAGCGCCUGCCAGAGGACCUAAAACUCCUGUUAAUAAUGUCGUCUUGAGUACUAUAUAAUAGUUAAAACUUUCAACAACGGAUCUCUUGGUUCUGGCAUCGAUGAAGAACGCAGCGAAAUGCGAUAAGUAAUGUGAAUUGCAGAAUUCAGUGAAUCAUCGAAUCUUUGAACGCAUAUUGCGCCCUCUGGUAUUCCGGGGGGCAUGCCUGUUCGAGCGUCAUUACAACCCUCAAGCUCUGCUUGGUAUUAGGCCUCACCUGUUAGGGCGGGCUGUAAAAUUAGUGGCGGUGCCAUUCGGCUUCAGGCGUAGUAAUUCUUCUCGCUUUGGAUGANCGGUUGCGUGCCCGCUAGCAAUCCUAAANUUAUCAAAGUGACCUCGAUCAGGUAGGGAUNCCCGCUGAACUUAANCAUAUCAAUAAGCGGAGGAAAAGAAACCANCAGGGAUUGCNUUAGUANCGGCGAGUGAAGCGGCAACAGCUCAAAUUUGAAAUCUGACUUUACGGUCCGAGUUGUAAUUUGUAGAGGAUGUUUCGAACGUGGUCCGGUCUAAGUUCCUUGGAACAGGACGUCACAGAGGGUGAGAAUCCCGUAUGCGACUGGGUGCCUAAGUUUAUGUGAAGCUCCUUCGACGAGUCGAGUUGUUUGGGAAUGCAGCUCAAGAUGGGUGGUAAAUUUCAUCUAAAGCUAAAUAUUGGCCAGAGACCGAUAGCGCACAAGUAGAGUGAUCGAAAGAUGAAAAGCACUUUGGAAAGAGAGUUAAACAGUACGUGAAAUUGUUGAAAGGGAAGCGCUUGCAACCAGACUUGCAUGUAGUUAAUCAUCCGGUGUUUUCACCGGUGCACUUGAUUAUAUUCAGGCCAGCAUCGGUUUCGGUGGUUGGAAAAAAGCCUAGGGAAUGUAGCUUCUUUCGGGGAGUGUUAUAGCCCUCGGUAUAAUGCAGCCUACCGGGACCGAGGACCGCGCUUCGGCUAGGAUGCUGGCGUAAUGGUUGUAAGCGACCCGUCUUGAAACACGGACC